CUAGAGACCAGCAAGUGUUCCCCGUUCUAUUGACAGAUGAAGACACUAAGGUGCAGGGAGAAAGGAUGAGUUUUCUGAGGUCAGGCAAGUAGGUAGCAGCAGAACCGAAACCUUUCCCUUGACGGAAUCAAAGUUGACUAUGGGGAUUUGUGGAAUCCACAUCUCUAUACCUCAAGCAUGGAGCAGCGGGCAGGGACUACAGAAGCAAGAGGAAACCUCCAUGGAGGCAGGUCAAGAAGUCGCAAGCAAAGGGAGACCAGGACCCCUGCUGUAUUCCAGCUCCACCCCAGUGCCAAGCUCAUUCCAGGAGCUGAGUAACCACCUGUUGAUUGAUUAUUACACUGACAAGAGCCCUGAAAGAGCAUGAACAAACAGAACCUGCAUAGUGCCUGGCACUGAAUAGGUACACAAACUGCCUCUCAAAUUUGGCCAUUGAAUUUAUGCCCAAGUUGCAGAUUUGUGAACAAAGUAAGUGUUGUUGUUUUAAGUCACUAAAUUUGGGGGUUA
rnacentral:lncRNA from 1 species